rnacentral:rRNA from 1 species
GUGAGGAAUAUUGGUCAAUGGGCGGGAGCCUGAACCAGCCAAGUCGCGUGAAGGGAGAAGGAUCUAUGGUUCGUAAACUUCUUUUGCAGGGGAAUAAAGUGCAGGACGUGUCCUGUUUUGUAUGUACCCUGAGAAUAAGGAUCGGCUAACUCCGUGCCAGCAGCCGCGGUAAUACGGAGGAUCCGAGCGUUAUCCGGAUUUAUUGGGUUUAAAGGGUGCGUAGGUGGUGUGAUAAGUCAGCGGUGAAAGUUUGCAGCUUAACUGUAAAAAUGCCGUUGAAACUGUCGGACUUGAGUGUAAAUGAGGUAGGCGGAAUGCGUGGUGUAGCGGUGAAAUGCAUAGAUAUCACGCAGAACUCCGAUUGCGAAGGCAGCUUACUAAGCUACAACUGACACUGAAGCACGAAAGCGUGGGGAUCAAACAGGAUUAGAAACCCCGGUAGUCC